AACGAACGCUGGCGGCAGGCCUAACACAUGCAAGUCGAGCGCUCACUUCGGUGGGAGCGGCGGACGGGUUAGUAACGCGUGGGAACGUGCCCUUCUCUACGGAAUAGCCAUUGGAAACGAUGAGUAAUACCGUAUACGCCCUUCGGGGAAAGAUUUAUCGGAGAAGGAUCGGCCCGCGUUAGAUUAGAUAGUUGGUGGGGUAACGGCCUACCAAGUCUACGAUCUAUAGCUGGUUUUAGAGGAUGAUCAGCAACACUGGGACUGAGACACGGCCCAGACUCCUACGGGAGGCAGCAGUGGGGAAUCUUAGACAAUGGGGGAAACCCUGAUCCAGCCAUGCCGCGUGAGUGAUGAAGGCCCUAGGGUCUAAAGCCUUUCCUGUGAAGAUAAUGACGGUAGC
rnacentral:rRNA from 1 species